rnacentral:rRNA from 1 species
UACGGAGGGGGCUAGCGUUGUUCGGAAUUACUGGGCGUAAAGCGCACGUAGGCGGUUACUCAAGUCAGAGGUGAAAGCCCGGAGCUUAACUCCGGAAUUGCCUUUGAAACUAGGUGACUUGAAUCCAGGAGAGGUGAGUGGAAUUCCCGGUGUAGCGGUGAAAUGCGCAGAUAUCGGGAGGAACACCAAUGGCGAAGGCAGCUCGCUGGGACGGUACUGACGCUGAGGCGCGAAAGCGUGGGGAGCAAACAGG